CAGUAGCCGCGGUAAUACGUAGGUGGCAAGCGUUGUCCGGAAUUAUUGGGCGUAAAGCGCGCGCAGGCGGAUCAGUUAGUCUGUCUUAAAAGUUCGGGGCUUAACCCCGUGAUGGGAUGGAAACUGCUGAUCUAGAGUAUCGGAGAGGAAAGUGGAAUUCCUAGUGUAGCGGUGAAAUGCGUAGAUAUUGGGAGGAACACCGGCGGCGAAGGCGGCUUACUGGACGACAACUGACGUUGAGGCUCGAAGGCGUGGGUAGCAAACAGGAUUAGAUACCCCCGUAGUCCCUGUCUCUUAUACC
rnacentral:rRNA from 1 species